CAGCCGUAAACAAUGUGCGUUAGGUGUGUCGGUAACCACGCGUUACUGAUGCGCCGAAGAGAAAUCGUGAAACGCACCACCUGGGAAGUACGGUCGCAAGGCUGAAACUUAAAGGAAUUGGCGGGGGAGCACCACAACAGGUGGAGCCUGCGGUUUAAUUGGAUUCAACGCCGGACAUCUCACCGGAUAAGACAGCUGAAUGAUUGCCGGGCUGAAGACCCUGCAUGACUAGCUGAGAGGAGGUGCAUGGCGUCAGUGACU
rnacentral:rRNA from 1 species